UACGCAGGGGGCUAGCGUUGCUCGGAAUCACUGGGCGUAAAGGGUGCGUAGGCGGGUUCUUAAGUCAGAGGUGAAAUCCUGGAGCUCAACUCCAGAACUGCCUUUGAUACUGAGAGUCUUGAGUUCGGGAGAGGUGAGUGGAACUGCGAGUGUAGGGGUGAAAUUCGUAGAUAUUCGCAAGAACACCAGUGGCGAAGGCGGCUCACUGGCCCGAUACUGACGCUGAGGCACGAAAGCGUGGGGAGCAAACAGG
rnacentral:rRNA from 1 species